GAACCCCCAUGAUGUUCAGCACUGGGCUCUGACCACCCUGAUGACAUGCUGCGCUCCCUGGGACCUUUGACAUCCAGGGAUCUGAGGGGUUU
ensembl:snoRNA